rnacentral:rRNA from 1 species
GAUGAACGCUGGCGGCGUGCCUAAUACAUGCAAGUCGAGCGAACAGACGAGGAGCUUGCUCCUCUGACGUUAGCGGCGGACGGGUGAGUAACACGUGGAUAACCUACCUAUAAGACUGGGAUAACUUCGGGAAACCGGAGCUAAUACCGGAUAAUAUAUUGAACCGCAUGGUUCAAAAGUGAAAGACGGUUUUGCUGUCACUUAUAGAUGGAUCCGCGCCGCAUUAGCUAGUUGGUAAGGUAACGGCUUACCAAGGCAACGAUGCGUAGCCGACCUGAGAGGGUGAUCGGCCACACUGGAACUGAGACACGGUCCAGACUCCUACGGGAGGCAGCAGUAGGGAAUCUUCCGCAAUGGGCGAAAGCCUGACGGAGCACCGCCGCGUGAGUGAUGAAGGUCUUCGGAUCGUAAAACUCUGUUAUUAGGGAAGAACAAAUGUGUAAGUAACUAUGCACGUCUUGACGGUACCUAAUCAGAAAGCCACGGCUAACUACGUG